UACGUAGGGUGCGAGCGUUGUCCGGAAUUAUUGGGCGUAAAGGGCUCGUAGGCGGCUUGUCGCGUCGGGCGUGAAAAUCCAGGGCUUAACUCUGGACUGGCUUUCGAUACGGGCAGACUAGAGGUAUGCAGGGGAGAACGGAAUUCCUGGUGUAGCGGUGAAAUGCGCAGAGAUCGGGAGGAACACCCGUAGCGAAGGCAGCGCUCUGGGCCGGUACUGACGCUGAGGAGCGAAAGCGUGGGGAGCAAACAGG
rnacentral:rRNA from 1 species